UUUUCUUUUAUUAUUUUCUUCUCUUAAAACAAUUCUUCAAGUAAAUGGCGACGGAGGACAACAAGCUCCUCCUCCUCCUCUUCCUCCUCCUUUUCUCUUCUUCUUCGUCAUUCUUCGCGAUCUCAUUUUCAUUCUUCAGUUGUUGAUUUUCUCAGUUACGCGGUGAUGAUAAUUUGGAAGGAUUAAGAAACUACUUAGAGAGAGAAAGAGAGUGAGAGGAAGAGAGAGAGGGUUUUUUUUUUUUUUUUUGUAAAUGUCCGGUGGUGAGAGAGAGGAGAAGCCAUGGAAAUGUGGAAAAGCGAUUGCAGUGGCGAAUUUACAGAGAGUAGGAACAAUGGUGAGGGAUAUAGGAGAGCCUUGUCUUUCACAAUCACCUAUAAAGGUUGUUAUACUUGUAGGAAGAAUGCUUAAGCCGGAGAAGUGGCAAUCGACUUUUGAUAGUAAUGGAAAGGUUUCACGUUUUCAGAAAGCGCUGAAGUUGAUUGUUUUAGGGGGUGUGGAUCCAUCUAUUAGGCCACAAGUUUGGGAGUUUCUACUUGGCUGUUAUACACUGGGAACCACUGCUGAGUACCGGAGGCAGCUGAGGACAGCACGAAGGGAACGCUACAGAGACCUCAUCGAGCAAUGCCAAAAAAUGCAUUCAAGUAUAGGAACUGGUGCCCUUGCGUUUGCUGUGGGGUCCAAAGUUAUGGAUAUGAGGACACCAUCCAAGGAUGAUGGGAGAGGGGAAGAAGCUACUGUCAAAAGUAGACAAACCUCUGUAGAUGUUACUAACAGCUUAGAGAAUUAUAGUGAUUGGAAUAAUAAUUGUACAGAUACAGCGUGCACGUGUGCAGGGCAAAGUUCUAGUGAUUCUGCUGGACUUGUCAGUGUGAGGGGAAGCUCAGAUAGUGCAGCACAUGAUUCUUCUUGUUUUAUACCUACUUCUGGCCCACUCAAUAGUGGUUCUCCAAAAAGAGGUGGGGAGGCUCAUGGAUCAGAGUAUGUAGUGGAGAGUUAUUUUGAUUUUCCUCCUUUACCUGUCACGAAUUUGUUUGACAAGAGAGAAGAUAAGAAAGAAAGUGGUGUGCUUGAUGACAAACCACGUACACAAAGAAAAUUGAGAUUUCAAGAUGACAGGAUGCACAGUUUUCAAAUUAAUAAUAAUGUAGAUUUAAUUAUUGAAUCCAGUGGGGAACCAUCUAACCAUGCUUCACCUCAGAAGAAAUCUGAAAUUGAAUUAGUUCACCAAGAGGACCAUGAACCAGUAUUACAGUCCAAUAAUCUUGGUAAUGAGAAAGAAAUAGUGGACAAAUUGAGAAUAGCUGAUGUUCCUGAGACACCAUUGUUAAAUGGAACAACAUCUAAUGGAGGGGUGGCUGGUGAGAACAGAGUGUCUGAAUGGCUCUGGACAUUGCAUCGAAUAGUUGUUGAUGUUGUAAGAACAGAUAGUCAUCUUGAAUUCUAUGAGGAUAAAAGAAAUUUAGCUAGGAUGUCUGACAUCCUUGCUGUCUAUGCAUGGGUUGAUCCAGCCACUGGUUAUUGUCAAGGUAUGAGCGAUCUGCUGUCUCCUUUUGUUGUUCUCUUUGAGGACAAUGCUGAUGCAUUUUGGUGCUUUGAGAUGCUUCUACGGAGAAUGCGUGAAAAUUUUCAGAUGGAAGGACCAACUGGGGUCAUGAAACAGUUGCAAGCAUUGUGGCACAUCUUGGAACUCACAGACAAAGAAAUGUUUGCACACCUAUCACGUAUUGGUGCUGAAAGCCUCCAUUUUGCAUUCCGGAUGCUGAUGGUUCUCUUCCGCCGAGAGUUAUCUUUUAGUGAGGCUCUGCGGAUGUGGGAGAUGAUGUGGGCUGCUGAUUUUGAUGAAUCUGUUGUGUGUGAUCUAGAGGAGAAUUGUCUGGAUGCACUGUUGCUAAAUGUUCCAAGGGAUUGUGAAGGAGAUACAAGGGAAGAAAGCAUUGAAAAUAGUGAUGGUAGUUCAAGGGAUGGUUCACAAUCAAAGCAUGGAAAUGUUGAGCACCCAACGUCUGACAACACUGGAAUGAAAUCCGCAUCAGUUUAUAACUUUUGUGGUUUCACAAAGAAUUUUUGGUCAAGAAAUGACCGCAUGCAGAUUACCAAUGCAAUCUCAUCAACUAAGAACGGGAAUGAUGAAUUACCUGUUUUCUGUGUCGCUGCUAUUCUCAUCAUGAACCGGCAAAAGAUAAUCAAAGAAACUCGCUCAAUUGAUGAUAUGAUAAAGAUUUUCAAUGAUAGGCUGCUGAAGAUUCAUGUUAAAAGAUGCAUACGCACAGCGACCAAACUUCGGAAGAAAUAUUUUUACAAGCUGAUCAAAAGCAAGAACCAUGUAGUCCAGAAUGGUGAAUAAGACUGCCAAUUUUAGUAUUCAUUUCACUGACAGAGGCACCAUGUUGGCACUUAGAGCUGGUAGCGGUAGUCUGGGAUGCUGAUUUUGAGUACGGCCUUACAAUGUUUUGUUAUUUGGAUCUUUUAUGAUGGAGUUAUUUAAAGAAAAGUGCUGUUGCCAUUCAAAGAUAUUGUACAGUUGAUUGUACUUCCAUUGUCUCCUUCACAUCUUUGUGAGCAUUCUCCUUUCAUUUUCCUAUCCUCCUUUUGAGGCCAACGGAAAGAUCAAAGGUGCCAACAAGUUCAUCUUUGGUGCAUCCAGGUUCUUAUCAUUUAACUGCUAUGAUAAUUCUCACAGGUUAGGCAAAGACAACGUUUUCUUUUCCAUUGAUUUCAUUUUUCCAAGUUUUUAGAGGGCAAAUUAUUAUAAAGAGAAGAGAGGUAGAGAGGGAGCAAAUUGUUUUGACAAUUUUGAUUGCCUUGUGCUUUUGUUGAAAGGAGUUUAAAAAAUUAACUAAAAGUUAUUGAAAGUCAUCAACAAUUGCAAUGGUUGAAAUGCUGAAGAUGAGUUCUUUACUUGAGCAGGAGUUGUGUAAUUUUAUUUGUAGAAAGGAAACAUUUUUUUCAGGCACAUAUUUGUAUCCUCUAUCCUCGACACAAAACAAUAUCAUUUAAUUGACAGUAUUUUUAUGAUGACAAA